rnacentral:rRNA from 1 species
GAACGCUAGCUACAGGCUUAACACAUGCAAGUCGAGGGGAAACGACAUCGAAAGCUUGCUUUUGAUGGGCGUCGACCGGCGCACGGGUGAGUAACGCGUAUCCAACCUGCCCACCACUUGGGGAUAACCUUGCGAAAGUAAGACUAAUACCCAAUGAUAUCUCUAGAAGACAUCUGAAAGAGAUUAAAGAUUUAUCGGUGAUGGAUGGGGAUGCGUCUGAUUAGCUUGUUGGCGGGGUAACGGCCCACCAAGGUGACGAUCAGUAGGGGUUCUGAGAGGAAGGUCCCCCACAUUGGAACUGAGACACGGUCCAAACUCCUACGGGAGGCAGCAGUGAGGAAUAUUGGUCAAUGGGCGAGAGCCUGAACCAGCCAAGUAGCGUGCAGGAUGACGGCCCUAUGGGUUGUAAACUGCUUUUAUAAGGGAAUAAAGUGAGUCUCGUGAGACUUUUUGCAUGUACCUUAUGAAUAAGGACCGGCUAAUUCCGUGCCAGCAGCCGCGGUAAUACGGAAGGUCCGGGCGUUAUCCGGAUUUAUUGGGUUUAAAGGGAGCGCAGGCCGGAGAUUAAGCGUGUUGUGAAAUGUAGAUGCUCAACAUCUGAACUGCAGCGCGAACUGGUUUCCUUGAGUACGCACAAAGUGGGCGGAAUUCGUGGUGUAGCGGUGAAAUGCUUAGAUAUCACGAAGAACUCCGAUUGCGAAGGCAGCUCACGGGAGCGCAACUGACGCUGAAGCUCGAAAGUGCGGGUAUCGAACAGGAUUAGAUACCCUGGUAGUCCGCACGGUAAACGAUGGAUGCCCGCUGUUGGUCUGAAUAGGUCAGCGGCCAAGCGAAAGCAUUAAGCAUCCCACCUGGGGAGUACGCCGGCAACGGUGAAAC